rnacentral:lncRNA from 1 species
CAAAGGAUGUGGAUGGGAGCUGGUUCUGCAGCCUGCUUUUUCAGGGCAAAUUAGUCAUAACCCACAUCCCUAAUUUAUUGGGGAAUAGGUUCAGCUGGCGUUCCUUGCAGCGGACACACAUGACGAGGAGAGCACUGUUACCAUCCAAACACUGUCAGCCUCUGCAUCCUGCAGGCAGCCCAACCCAGCCGCCCUGCUCCUGACAUGGGGCCGUGGGUGGAGGUGCCUGAGGUCUCCCUCCACCACACAGAUUAUUAAUUCUGGCCUUGCCUCAGCUGCAAGUUUCUGCUGCGUCGAAAGGAAUCCUCUGAUAGAAGUGUCAGUUAUCACCCAAGCAAUGCCAGGGGAGAAAGGAAAAGCAGAAAGAGAGGAGAAUAUCUUCUAAUCACAGGCACUCUGCUUUCUGGGCCUUUUUCUUCCUGCCCUCAAGCCUGCGUCUCUGGAGAGAGAGGAUGCCACUAGAAAAUGUCUCUUGGAUUUCUUUGACAGCCACUUGACAGCAGACGGACCCUGUGUUAAGCAGAAGGCUACACUAAUUCCAGCUGAACAUGCUGCUUAAAUUAACUGGGACAGAAACAAAAUCUAUCCAAUUGAGAUUCUGUGUUUCAUCUUGUCCCCAUUCUUUGAAAGGAAGAUGGCCUUUCCACUCUUUGUUAUUGUCCAUGGAUGCAAAACAGAAGGAGGAAAAGAGAGAGGGAGAAUAGAGAUGAAAGUGGGAAUCAGGGUUGGACAUAUCCUUCCCCUCAUCUUGCAUUUGCAGUGUUGUAGGCCUGAUACUUUUAAAGCUCUCUCCCCUUUGUACCUACAUUACUUCGUUUCCCCCUUCCUUACUCAGAAUUGAAUCACCAGACAAUCUUCAGCACAUCCUGAUGAUGGGGAGUAUUUCAGAUGGUUUUUGGCACUGGUUUCAGAGCACGGCAAACUGUUAGCAACAAAACACUUGAAUUCCUUGAUUUUGAAGAUUCAGGCAUCAAAUAUCUGCUAUCAAAGUAGCAGAUAUUAAUCAUGUGCUAUGAUACUUUCAGCAGAAAGCAUACAAAUAUCCCAGUGGUAUCUUCUAAGGAAAGUAUAAGAAGAGUAAAAAGAUAUUUCAGAAGAUUUAGGAUGUAAGGACACAGCAAGAUCCCAACGGAUAAAGAAAAACAGAAAAGUGACAAGUUUUUUAAAGUGAAAAGCAAUCUACUCUUGAAGUCCUGUAAGAUUUAUUUUAUUCAAACAUACCACAUAGCUAUAUUCUUAGAGCUCCCAGCCUUGGCUUCUUGUUCAAGUUGCAGAUGCAGGAUGAGUUCCUUGCAAGUUUCCUGCACUUUCACCAUUUAUAGGCAUUUUUCCGCUAGUUCUCUUGUUUUAAGCAUCUUGAGCUUUGUGCUUUCUGUAACUCAUACUAUCAAUCUGGAUAAAAUUGGUUUAAAAAUAUGAGGCUUAAAAGACCACAUGUGGGCAUAAAUGCAAAAAACAUAAAGCAUAUGAAGUGAACAGCAGAGAUACUCUAGUUAUAGGCACUACUGAGAGCAAUUUUAAGGCAUAGCCAUUACUACCAUUUGGAAAUGGGUAUCUGCUUUGGCAAUUCCCAUUUUGUUAGUUAGAUAUAUGAUCCUGUAUAAUCCUUGAUAAAAGUACCAAUUUUUAUACAAACCACAUUACUGUCUUCAUGGGAGAAGUGGUAUGUAUUCUUAUUGCCUUCAAUUCACUAAACAAAGACUUAAAGAAAUAUAGCAACUUCCUUCUUUCUUCCCUUCAUAGUAGAACACAAUACUGGG